rnacentral:rRNA from 1 species
UCCGCCUGGGAACUACGAGCAGCAGCUUAAAACCCAAAGGACUUGGCGGUGCUUUAAACCCACCUAGAGGAGCCUGUUCUAGAACCGAUAGCCCCCGUUCAACCUCACCUUUCCUUGUUUUACCCGCCUAUAUACCGCCGUCGUCAGCUUACCCUGUGAAGGUUUAACAGUAAACAAAACUGGCUUAGCCCAGAACGUCAGGUCGAGGUGUAGCGCAUGGGAGGGGAAGAAAUGGGCUACAUUCGCUACUACAGCGAACACGGACGAUGCACUGAAACGUCCAUCUGAAGGAGGAUUUAGCAGUAAGCAGAAAAUAGAGUGUUCCGCUGAAAUUGGCCCUGAAGCGCGCACACACCGCCC